rnacentral:lncRNA from 1 species
AUUCAAUGUUCCCACCAUCAUCCUCACUAACUUCUAUAAAUGGUGAACAGAAAAUUGAUAGAAAAAUCAAUACAUGCUUCCCAGGGGUACUUAACUCAGAAGAAGAGAAAACCAAAAACUCUGAAGGCCUUGGGCAAAACUUGGCUGAAAACCCAUGUAGAUCAGGAAUACUCCAGCCAACUCUACCAAAGCCAUCUUGUCUUCUGCUCUCAAAGGACCCUAUCCAAUUCUCAAUGACUUUUGUUAAUGAAGUUCCUGAAGAUCAGACAAGGGAAACAGAAUCAGAAUCAGAAUUGGAAAGGAGGAAGAAGGAACCAAAGAACAAGGUAUCUCUGCCAUUAUAUUUUGAAGAUUUUUC